UGAUGCUGUGAUCUGAUCUG
rnacentral:piRNA from 1 species